rnacentral:rRNA from 1 species
UAACUCUCUCCAACCAAUAUCUCGGUUCUCUCUUGCAUGAAGAAAGAAGGGAAAUAAAUUCCUUGGUUGGAAUGAAAGACUCCCUCGCCCCAUCCAUUCUUUGAACGCAAGCUACCCCCGACCCCAUUCGUUUGGGGGCGGGCCCGCCUGGGCGUCCCUC